GUAAUGGAAUUUUCAAUGAUUAUAGAUUAAAGUUUACAGUUUUAUUAUAUUCUGCUUGCAUUAUAGUGUAAUGGUCUAAUCAUAUUUUAAUCAUCUCUCUAAGCAUAAGCACAAAUGCAUUGUACCGUCAACACUACUUGUAUAAUGUUUUAGUAUAUUCCACUUGUAUUGAUAUUGUUUAAAUUUAUAAGUUCGUAGCUCGCACAAAUUCAGUGAUGGCAUCAGGUGGGAGAGUACAUCGUUCGCGCACUUGAUCUACCCCUUCUACCCGUGAUGUGAUGGAGCCAGCAUCGCCGUCACAUGUUGCAUCGCAGGCGUCUGAUCCUUCAGUCGUGCAUACACCGGGCACUGCAGAGGGAGGAGCAAGAGAGGAUGGAGGAGGACCUGGCGAGGCAGAGGGAGGAGCAGGAGAGGAGGAGGAUGGAGGAGCAGGCGAGGGAGAGAGAGGAGCAGGAGAGGAGGAUAGAGGAGAUGCGGGUGGAGCAUGAGCAACGGAUGACGGAGAUGUUUUAGGCUCUUACUACACGCUUACCCACUGAUACUCCACCACCUCCGCCUUCAUCUUUGUGAUUUUUUGUAUUUUAUUUAUGAUGUUAAACUUAUAUGUAUUUAUGUGUGAAUGAAUGUCAUGUUGAUGGA